rnacentral:rRNA from 1 species
GCUUGUCUCAAAGAUUAAGCCAUGCAUGUCUAAGUGUAAAUAAGUCUAUACUGUGAAACUGCGAAUGGCUCAUUAAAUCAGUUAUCGUUUAUUUGAUGAUCUCUUACUACUUGGAUAACCGUAGUAAUUCUAGAGCUAAUACAUGCACAAAAUCCCGACUUACGAAGGGUUGUAUUUAUUAGAUAAAGAACCAAUCCAUGCUUGCAUGGUUUUGUGGUGAUUCAUAAUAACUGAUCGAAUCGCAUGCCUUCGGGCGGCGAUGUAUCAUUCAAGUUUCUGACCUAUCAGCUUCCGACGGUAGGGUAUUGGCCUACCGUGGCAAUGACGGGUAACGGGGAAUUAGGGUUCGAUUCCGGAGAGGGAGCCUGAGAAACGGCUACCACAUCUAAGGAAGGCAG